rnacentral:lncRNA from 1 species
GAAAAUUGAGAAUUCUCGUAGUACUGAGAAUUUUGAACAUCUUCUGGAUUUGAAAAAUUUUGAGGGUGAAAAAAAGAUCCAAAAUUUGAAUAAUAAUUGGGGUCGUUUGGAUCCAUGGCUUCAAAAUGAAGAAAAAAAUGAAGAUAGAAAAUAAGGCUAUUGAAAGAUUGAUGAGAAAAUAAGGAUAUUGAAGUGGUGUUGAUGAAAAAAAUUGGAAG